rnacentral:rRNA from 1 species
UACGGAGGUUGCAAGCGUUAUCCGGAUUUAUUGGGUUUAAAGGGUGCGUAGGCGGGCCUGUAAGUCAGUGGUGAAAUCCUGUCGCUUAACGAUAGAACUGCCAUUGAUACUGCAGACCUUGAGUAUAGUUGAGGUGGGCGGAAUGUGUAAUGUAGCGGUGAAAUGCUUAGAUAUUACACAGAACACCAAUUGCGUAGGCAGCUCACUAAACUAUAACUGACGCUGAGGCACGAAAGCGUGGGUAGCAAACAGG